rnacentral:rRNA from 1 species
UACAGAGGGUGCUAGCGUUGUUCGGAAUCAUUGGGCGUAAAGGGCGUGUAGGCGGUUUGUUAAGUCAUGUGUGAAAUCCCUCGGCUCAACCGGGGAACGACGCAUGAAACUGGCAAGCUAGAGUACCAAAGAGGGGGGUGGAAUUCCCGGUGUAGCGGUGAAAUGCGUAGAUAUCGUGAGGAACACCUGUGGCGAAGGCGGCCCCCUGGUUGGAUACUGACGCUGAUACGCGAAAGCGUGGGGAGCAAACAGG